rnacentral:rRNA from 1 species
UACGAAGGGGGCUAGCGUUGCUCGGAAUCACUGGGCGUAAAGCGCACGUAGGCGGAUCUUUAAGUCAGGGGUGAAAUCCUGGAGCUCAACUCCAGAACUGCCUUUGAUACUGGGGGAUCUCGAGUCCGGAAGAGGUGAGUGGAACUCCGAGUGUAGAGGUGAAAUUCGUAGAUAUUCGGAAGAACACCAGUGGCGAAGGCGGCUCACUGGUCCGGUACUGACGCUGAGGUGCGAAAGCGUGGGGAGCAAACAGG